rnacentral:lncRNA from 1 species
GAACUUCUGUUUUGAUGGAUGUGGCAAGCGGCUUGCUUUUCCUGAGAUCAGAUCAUCUCCUGUGGGGGAGAUCAGGCUUCUCCAGGGCCAGCUGGGAGAGCACGGCGGGGGGGGGGGGGGACGGGAGGGCUGCGCAGGCGCCUUUAGGAAGCAGCUUAGGACCUGGUUUUGAAUCCCGGCCGGGGGGGGGGGGGGGCCUCUGGGGACAUGGCCCCACUUCCUCCCUCUGCUCCAGGACUCAGCACGCACAGGCUGUUGGAAAGUUUCAGAAAAAGAGCACCAGCCCUCAGUGGGCGUAUUCCCGGGAGAAGCCCAAGGGCUGGCUCCCAAGAAAUGCCCCCGCCUCUCUCCUGGGUCUUCCUGGCAAGCCCCUCUCUGCACCCUUUGGCAGUCUGAUGGAAGAAGCUGAUGGAUGGAUGGGAAGUUGUCUCAUCCUCCACCCAACCUUUCCCUUCCUCCCCCGCCCCCCACUCCCCUCCUGGCUCCAGGGAGCUGUGAAGCUCUUCCUGAUGAGAAUGUCCUCUUUAGUUGAAGCAAUGAGAGGCAGGACCACCACAGUGUCCACCCAGCCCUCGGCAGACCACCACAGCUCCAGCCAGCCCUCGGCAGACCACCGCAGCGUCCAGCCAGCCCUCGGCAGACCACUGCAGCGUCCAGCCAGCCCUCGGCAGACCACCGCGGCGUCCAGCCAGCCUUUGUCGGUCCUUCGCUCCCUGCUAACUGCUCUCAGUGCAGCCUGCUGGUCCUGCUCUGAUUUCUCUCUUAUCCAAGGCGCAUGCCACCGUCUCAGGCACCACAGCCAUCUGUCCGUCUGCCCAUCUGUCUCUGUCACCGUCACUAGUAAUCACCUUUCUAUCUCUGGCCCCGUUUCCCCUACUCUACAGAAUAAAAGAUCCGCAAGGGUAAGAACUAUGGUUUUGUUUACUGGGAUCCUAAGUGCUGUCCUGUAGGAACUCGAUGAGCUGGAAUGGGCAAAGGAACAUAUAAUACAGCAUUGGAGAACUUAUAAAUGCCUAGGACAUAAGAUAAAAGUCACUUCAAAGUUUAUAACGCAGUGCCGGGCGAAGUCGCCGCCUGCAGUGCCAGCAUCCCACAUGGGCAUCGGUUCAAUUCCCAGCUGCUCCACUCUGGACCCAGCUCCCUGCUCAUGGCCUGGGAAAGCAGAGAAGAUGCCCAAGUUUGGGGCUUUGCCACCCAUGUGAAGACCCGGAUGAAGCUUCCAGCUCCUGGCUCCCACCUGGCCCAGCCCUGGCUGCUGCGGCCAUCUGGGGCGUGAAGCAGCAGAUGGAAGAUCUCUCUCUCUCUCUCUCUCUCUCUCUCUCUCCCUCUCUCUGUGUGAGUGUGUAACUCUGACUUUCCAAUAAAUAAAUAAAUCUUUGAAAAAGAGCA